rnacentral:rRNA from 1 species
ACGGGAGGCAGCAGUGGGGAAUAUUGCACAAUGGGGGAAACCCUGAUGCAGCGACGCCGCGUGAAGGAAGAAGUAUCUCGGUAUGUAAACUUCUAUCAGCAGGGAAGAUAAUGACGGUACCUGACUAAGAAGCCCCGGCUAACUACGUGCCAGCAGCCGCGGUAAUACGUAGGGGGCAAGCGUUAUCCGGAUUUACUGGGUGUAAAGGGAGCGUAGACGGCAAGACAAGUCUGGAGUGAAAUUCCGGGGCUCAACCCCGGAACUGCUUUGGAAACUGUUUAGCUGGAGUAUCGGAGAGGUAAGCGGAAUUCCUAGUGUAGCGGUGAAAUGCGUAGAUAUUAGGAGGAACACCAGUGGCGAAGGCGGCUUACUGGACGAUAACUGACGUUGAGGCUCGAAAGCGUGGGGAGCAAACAGGAUUAGAUACCCUGGUA